AUUGAACGCUGGCGGCAGGCCUAACACAUGCAAGUCGAGCGGAGCGGCUGACGGGUUCGUAAUGGCUAGGAAUCUGCCUGGUAGUGGGGGAUAACGUCCGGAAACGGGCGCUAAUACCGCUUACUAUCAGAUCAGCCUAGGUCGGAUUAGCUAGUUGGUGGGGUAAUGGCCUACUAAGGCGAAGAUCCGUAACUGGUGUGAGAGGAUGAUCAGUCACACUGGAACUGAGACACGGUCCAGACUCCUACGGGAGGGAGCAGUGGGGAAUAUUGGACAAUGGGCGAAAGCCUGAUCCAGCCAUGCCGCGUGUGUGAAGAAGGUCUUCGGAUUGUAAAGCACUUUAAGUUGGGAGGCGUUACCAACAGAAUAAGCACCGGCUAACUUCGUGCCAGCAGCCGCGGUAAUUC
rnacentral:rRNA from 1 species